UUACUCUGGUUUCCCUUCAAAACGUAUAAAUCUUUCGCCUUUUACUAAAGAUUUCCGUGGAGGGGAACACUCAAAUGAGUCUAACUCAAUUUUUUAAUGCCCUGAUUUAUAUCAGGGU
rnacentral:snRNA from 1 species